rnacentral:rRNA from 1 species
GAUAAACGCUGGCAGCGCACAUAAGACAUGCAAGUCGAACGGAAGUCGUUGUAAUGAUGUUGAAAAGAACGGAGAACUUGUUCAAAGGAAAUGGAAAUUGACUUACAACAAUGGCUUUAGUGGCGGACUGGUGAGUAACACGUAAGCAACCUGCCUGUUAGAGGGGAAUAACAGCGAGAAAUCGUUGCUAAUACCGCAUAUGCCAUAAUAGUCACAUGACUAUAGUGGGAAAGGAGUAAUCCGCUAGUAGAUGGGCUCGCGUCUGAUUAGCUAGUUGGUGGGGUAAUAGCCUACCAAGGCGACGAUCAGUAGCCGGACUGAGAGGUUGAACGGCCACAUUGGGACUGAGAUACGGCCCAG